CAAAGAAAUCCAUGUCCUAAUUAUCCACUGUCCCUAGCACAGUAACCAAAACCCAAAAAGAGGAGAGACUUCUAGUCUUUCCUCCCUGCUUUCUCGCCAGCUAGGCAACACUCACUAAUUCCAUCCAGCAAUUGCAUCUCAUUUGUUUAAUAAUGACAGAGAAUAUUUGUGGGUGGUAACAACAUACAAUGCUUUGAUGUAUAUUUGAUAACAAAAGUUAAUGUAUGCUCAAAGGGAGAAGGGAGCAAAUCAGCCAAAGGAGAGUUCUGGGAGCAAAUACAGUUUGUGGUAUCUUCCAAUUUCCAGCUCCAUAGGCAUUAACUCCCAAGUGCCAGAGAAACCCCUGGUAAAUCAGUGUCAGGGCAGUGGGAGGUGCAGUGGUGCACACCCAGCUGCACUGGCAAAGCCCAUUCCAAUUUCCUCAUUGCAAUGACCUAAAGAGGACAGCUUGGCUCACCAGGGAGCUGAUCAUUAAGUUGCUUGGGUCACGCCAGAAGGACACCUAGAGCCACUGCACAGCACACAAAUACCUGCUUAAUUCACAGACCCACAAAAUUAAUGAGGUGAGGAGGUGCCUCAUGGCCCUUCCAUUUGUAUCUUCCAGGCUGAACCAUCCACAUGCAUCCCACACUCCAACCCUGCCAGCUCUUGAUAUGUGUUUCAAUUAAAACAGGAAAAAAAGCAAAACCAUCCUCAGCAACAAAAUUUACAAAACCUAAACAACUUCCCCUACCAACAAUCCCAAAUCCAAUCUUU